rnacentral:rRNA from 1 species
UACGUAGGUGGCAAGCGUUGUCCGGGAUUAUUGGGCGUAAAGCGCGCGCAGGCGGUCCUUUAAGUCUGAUGUGAAAGCCCACGGCUCAACCGUGGAGGGUCAUUGGAAACUGGGGGACUUGAGUGCAGAAGAGGAGAGUGGAAUUCCACGUGUAGCGGUGAAAUGCGUAGAGAUGUGGAGGAACACCAGUGGCGAAGGCGACUCUCUGGUCUGUAACUGACGCUGAGGCGCGAAAGCGUGGGGAGCAAACAGG